GAGGCACAGGUGGAACGAUGUGCGAGGGAUGCUGAGAGGGGCUGGUUCAUGCAAGUCCAUUUGGCCCAGGGGUCUGCUGCUCUGUCUCCAGUCUACAGUGUGAAAAGAAUUGUCCUUCACAAAACUUUGACACACAACACAUGAAACCUUACUGCAGAAGUAUCAGCAGGAGAUGCCCAGAAGCUGGAGCGGGAUCACAGAUCAGCAGGAGAGCACCUGAAGAGCAGCACAAAGGAAUUCCAGCUACUCCAGCCAGCGAGUUGGCUUCAUUGCGGGGCCCAACUUAAACGGUUCUAUGCAAAUGCACACAGCAUGGGGAAUAAACAACAGGAGUGAGAGAUGUGCACAUGCCUGCAGGGCUACAGUCUUACUGGAAUCAUGGAGACAUGGUGGGAUGGCUCCUAUGACUGGAGUACUGGAAUGGAAGGAUACAGGCUUCUUUUGAAGGACAGGCAGAGGAGAUUAGGGCAGCAGAACACAGUGUAAUACUUGCUGAACUUUUUUCUGAGUGAACAGGAGACAAUCUCCUGGCACAUCUUUUUCCAAUUCUGGAGUUAUACUGGCCAAAAAUUUCUGGGUUCAUGUUGUUGCAUUCAGUGAA